AUUGAACGCUGGCGGCAUGCUUUACACAUGCAAGUCCAACGGUAACAGGUUAAGCUGACGAGUGGCGAACGGGUGAGUAAUGCAUCGGAACGUGCCCGGUCGUGGGGGAUAACGCAGCGAAGGCUGCGCUAAUACCGCAUACGAUCUAAGGAUGAAAGCGGGGGACCGUAAGGCCUCGCGCGAUCGUAGCGGCCGAUGUCAGAUUAGGUAGUUGGUGGGGUAAAGGCUCACCAAGCAAACGAUCUGUAGCGGGUCUGAGAGGCAGACCAGCCAAGAGGGGAGUGAGACACGGCCCAGACUACUACGGGGGACAGCAGUGUGGAAUUUUGGCAAAUGGGCGAAAGCCUGAUCCAGCAAUGCCGCGUGCAGGAAGAGGGCCUUCGGGUUGUAAACUGCUUUUGUACGGAGCGAAAAGGUCUCCUCUAAUACAGGGGGCUCAUGACGGUACCGUAAGAAUAAGCACCGGCUAACUACGUGCCAGCAGCCGCCGCCG
rnacentral:rRNA from 1 species